AGGGGAGUGAAAAAGAACCUGAAACCGUGUACGUACAAGCAGUAGGAGCCCCAUCACUCAAGUGCCUCGCACUGAGUGAUGCAAGAACAUCACCGAAAAUAGCGCCGAAUUUGCUAACAAGGUUGGUCGAUUUUUUCAAGCCGUCGCGCAGUGUACCUAGAAGUACACGAGCAACGGAAGUUAAAAAAUCGGGCAAGAUUGAACGCAAAGGCAAGCGGGACAUUUGAGGAUGGGGUGACUGCGUACCUUUUGUAUAAUGGGUCAGCGACUUAUAUUCUG
rnacentral:rRNA from 13 species